GAGUUCUACGUGUCCCCCGAGGAUCUGGAGGC
rnacentral:piRNA from 1 species